rnacentral:ncRNA from 1 species
UACCUCAUUUCUUAUAGGCUAUAGGAAUUAUUGUGCUACUAGCCAGCAAUUUUAUAAAUUAAAGCAAUUUAAAUAUAGUGAGUAUGAUACAAGGAGCAAAUAUUGGUGCCAGCAGCUGCGGUCACACCAGUCCUUGAGUAAUUUAAAUCUUUAAUUGGGAAUUAAUCUAAUUAAAAAAAUUAAAGUGAAAUUUAUUUUAUUUUGUAAUAUUCUUAGAUUAAAUGAAAUAAAAUAAAAGUAGAAAAAAAACUAGGAUUAGAUACCCUACUAUUCUCCUUAAAACUUUAAAUUAAAGAGCAGUAAAUAUAAAAUAUAUGAAACUUAAAAAUUAUGGCAGUAAAAUUAAUAACACAGGGGAACUUACUUAAUUAAAUCGAUAACCACCGAGUUAACCUACUUACUUUUAAAAUUUGUAUACCGCCGUUUAGGGGAUUAUUAAGUAGUCUUCUUAAAAAUGAAAAUAAAAAAACAGGUCAAGGUGCAAUCAAUAAGUUAGUUUUAGCGAGUUACAAUAUAUAUAAAAUUCUUAGAUGUGUGGCAGAGCAUGUAUCUUAGAUGGACUUGUUAGUAUUGAAUUAAUAAAGUUAAAUAAAGGAUUUAAUUUUAAUUUUGUGCACAAAUCGCCCGUCACUCUCCUUAAUUUGAAAGGAGAUAAGUCGUAACACAGUAGGUGUAGCUGAAGCUGCCCCUC